rnacentral:rRNA from 1 species
UCGUUAAGGAAAUUAAUCCAACAUUUCACAACACGAACUGACGACAGCCAUGCAACACCUGUAAUCUUCAUUUUAAACUCUAAAGUUUAAAUUAUCUUUUUUAGGGAAAGAUUAUGGAAAGAUUAUGUCAAGGACUGGUAAGGUUUUGCGCGUUGUUUCGAAUUAAACCACAUGUUCCACCACUUGUGUGAGCCCCCGUCUAUUCCUUUGAGUUUUAGUCUUGCGACCGUACUCCUCAGGCGGACCAUUUACCGCGUUAGCUAAUACAAACGUCAAAAGGAUCAUGAAUCAUGACGGCUUUUGCUAUUUAUAGAAAGGUCAUCGUUGACGGCGUGGACUACAGGGGUAUCUAAUCCCUUUUGAUCCCCACGCUGUCGCACCUCAACGUCAGUAGAGUACUAGAGAAUUGCCUUCGCUUUUGAUGUUCCUCCUGAUAUCAACACAUUUUACCUCUACACCAGGAAUUCCAUUCUCCUCUUACUUACUCAAGUUUAGGAAUCGCAGAAAAUACUUCUCAAAGUAAAGCUUUGAGAUUCUCGAUUUUGGAUUUUCUAAACCGCCUACGUGCGCUUUACGCCCAAUCAUUCCGAAUAACGCUCGCCCCUCUCGUAUUACCGCGGCUGCUGGCACGAGAUUGGCCGGGACUUUUUGCUCUUUGUUUGUCAUAAUCUUUCAAAGAGUCAAGGGCUUUACAACCAACACAGUCUUCAUCACCCACGCGAUAUAGCUGGAUCAGGCUUUCGCCCAUUGUCCAAUAUUCCUCACUGCUGCCGCUCGAAAGCGUUUGGGCCGUGUCUCAGUCCCAAUGUGGCUGAUCAUCCUCUCAGAUCAGCUAAGGAUCUUCGGCUUGGGAGGCUUUUACCCUACCAACUACCUAAUCCUACGCAAGCUCAUCUCACAACGUCUUUUAACUUUGAGUAUCCAAGAUUCAGAUUUCUCUUUCCUUGGUUUGUGAGGUAGAUUCUUACGCGUUACUCACCCGUUCGCUACUUCUCCUUUUUAAAUUUUUCAAAUUGAGAAAAAACAAAAAGAGACGUUCAACUUGCAUGUGUUAAGCUUAUCGCUAGCGUUCAUUCUGAGCCAGGAUCAAACUCAAAAAAAUCCAGCCGCAGGUUCCCCUACGGCUACCUUGUUACGACUUCGAUCCUAUCGCUAAACACAUCUUGGGAAUGCGUCUUUUAAAACGUAAAAAAAGAUCUUCAAGAUCUUGUCUUUUUUUUUACAAAAAAAGAGUCUUAACGUGUUUAAAAGACGAUACAUUACUUCUGAUGCACUCAACUCUGAGACCGUGACGGGCGGGGAGUACAAGGCUCAGGUACAUAUUCACCGUGGCGUGCUGAUCCACGAUUACUAGUGAUUCCGGCUUCAUGUUCUCGAGUUGCAGAGAACAAUCUGAACUGGGGUAAGUUUUUUGAGAUUUGCUCCGACUUUCAUCAUUGCUGCUCUUUGUACUUACCAUUGUAACACGUGUGUAGCCCAGCCCAUAAGGGUCAUGAGGACUUGACGUGAUCCCUCCCUUCCUCUAGUUUAUCACCAGCUGUAUAUUCAUUUUCAAGUGUUAUGAAAAAUUUUUUUCAUAACACUUGUGAAUGAGUAGAGGGGUUUCGUUC